rnacentral:rRNA from 1 species
UAGGGAAUCUUCGGCAAUGGACGGAAUUUUGGACCGAGCAACCNNUGGCGUGAGUGAAGAAGGUUUUCGGAUCGUAAAGCUCUGUUGUAAGAGAAGAACGAGUGUGAGAGUGGAAAGUUCACACUGUGACGGUAUCUUACCAGAAAGGGACGGCUAACUACGUGCCAGCAGCCGCGGUAAUACGUAGGUCCCGAGCGUUGUCCGGAUUUAUUGGGCGUAAAGCGAGCGCAGGCGGUUAGAUAAGUCUGAAGUUAAAGGCUGUGGCUUAACCAUAGUAGGCUUUGGAAACUGUUUAACUUGAGUGCAAGAGGGGAGAGUGGAAUUCCAUGUGUAGCGGUGAAAUGCGUAGAUAUAUGGAGGAACACCGGUGGCGAAAGCGGCUCUCUGGCUUGUAACUGACGCUGAGGCUCGAAAGCGUGGGGAGCAAACAGGAUUAGAUACCCUGGUAGUCCACGCUGUAAACGAUGAGUGCUAGGUGUUAGACCCUUUCCGGGGUUUAGUGCCGUAGCUAACGCAUUAAGCACUCCGCCUGGGGAGUACGACCGCAAGGUUG